AUUCGAUCCGACUCAGAUCCAAUAUAUCUGAUAACCUCGGGGUUGGCUGAUGAAUCCUCUCUCUCACCAUUGAAAAUUCUAUCCACUAAGGCAACCCUCCAAUCAUAGGGCUUUCCUCCGUGAUGAGGAUUUUUUGUGAUAUGUUCAUGAGAUGGUGCGACCACAUGAUUGCUUUGAAAAUUUGUGCUUAAAUUGACAAGUCAGAGGAACAACUAGCAGCAAAACAAGG
rnacentral:lncRNA from 1 species